rnacentral:rRNA from 1 species
AGAGUUUGAUCCUGGCUCAGGACGAACGCUGGCGGCGUGCUUAACACAUGCAGGUCGAACGGAAAGGCCCUUCGGGGUACUCGAGUGGCGAACGGGUGAGUAACACGUGGGUGAUCUGCCCUGCACUCUGGGAUAAGCCUGGGAAACUGGGUCUAAUACCGGAUAGGACCACACACUUCAUGGUGAGUGGUGCAAAGCUUUUGCGGUGUGGGAUGAGCCCGCGGCCUAUCAGCUUGUUGGUGGGGUAAUGGCCCACCAAGGCGACGACGGGUAGCCGGCCUGAGAGGGUGACCGGCCACACUGGGACUGAGAUACGGCCCAGACUCCUACGGGAGGCAGCAGUGGGGAAUAUUGCACAAUGGGCGCAAGCCUGAUGCAGCGACGCCGCGUGAGGGAUGACGGCCUUCGGGUUGU